rnacentral:rRNA from 1 species
AGAGUUUGAUCCUGGCUCAGGACGAACGCUGGCGGCGUGCCUAACACAUGCAGGUCGAGCGGAGACAGUGAGUAGCUUGCUAUGAGCUGUCUUAGCGGCGGACGGGUGAGUAACGCGUGAGCAACCUUUCCCAGACAGGGGAAUAACACACCGAAAGGUGUACUAAUACCGCAUAAGACCACGGGAUCACAUGGUUCUGGGGUAAAAGAUUUAUCGGUUUGGGGUGGGCUCGCGUCCGAUUAGGUAGUUGGUGAGGUAACGGCCCACCAAGCCGACGAUCGGUAGCCGACCUGAGAGGGUGAUCGGCCACAUUGGGACUGAGACACGGCCCAAACUCCUACGGGAGGCAGCAGUGGGAAUAUUGGGCAAUGGAGGAAACUCUGACCCAGCAACGCCGCGUGGAGGAAGAAGGUUUUCGGAUCGUAAACUCCUGUCCUUGGAGACGAGUAGAAGACGGUAUCCAAGGAGGAAGCCCCGGCUAACUACGUGCCAGCAGCCGCGGUAAUACGUAGGGGGCAAGCGUUGUCCGGAAUAAUUGGGCGUAAAGGGCGCGUAGGCGGCUCGGUAAGUCUGGAGUGAAAGUCCUGCUUUUAAGGUGGGAAUUGCUUUGGAUACUGUCGGGCUUGAGUGCAGGAGAGGUUAGUGGAAUUCCCAGUGUAGCGGUGAAAUGCGUAGAGAUCGGGAGGAACACCAGUGGCGAAGGCGACUAACUGGACUGUAACUGACGCUGAGGCGCGAAAGUGUGGGGAGCAAACAGGAUUAGAUACCCUGGUAGUCCACACUGUAAACGAUGAAUGCUAGGUGUAGGGGGUAUCGACCCCUUCUGUGCCGCAGUCAACACAAUAAGCAUUCCGCCUGGGGAGUACGGCCGCAAGGUUGAAACUCAAAGGAAUUGACGGGGGCCCGCACAAGCAGCGGAGCAUGUGGUUUAAUUCGACGCAACGCGAAGAACCUUACCAGGUCUUGACAUCCACUUAAACUUACAGAGAUGUAAGGUGUGCUUGCACAAAGUGAGACAGGUGGUGCAUGGUUGUCGUCAGCUCGUGUCGUGAGAUGUUGGGUUAAGUCCCGCAACGAGCGCAACCCUUAUCUUCAGUUACUAACGCGUGAGGGUGAGGACUCUGAAGAGACUGCCGGGGACAACUCGGAGGAAGGUGGGGACGACGUCAAAUCAUCAUGCCCCUUAUGACCUGGGCUACACACGUGCUACAAUGGCCACGACAGAGAGAAGCGAAAUCGCAAGGUAGAGCGGAACUCAAAAAAGUGGUCCCAGUUCGGAUUGUGGGCUGCAACCCGCCCACAUGAAGUCGGAGUUGCUAGUAAUCGCGGAUCAGCAUGCCGCGGUGAAUACGUUCCCGGGCCUUGUACACACCGCCCGUCACACCAUGGGAGUUGGGAGUGCCCAAAGCCGGUGAGGCAACCGCAAGGAGCCAGCCGUCUAAGGCAAGACCAAUGACUGGGGUGAAGUCGGAACAAGGUA